AACGAACGCUGGCGGCAUGCCUAACACAUGCAAGUCGAACGAGAUCUUCGGGUCUAGUGGCGCACGGGUGCGUAACGCGUGGGAAUCUGCCCUUUGGUUCGGAAUAACAGUUGGAAACGACUGCUAAUACCGGAUGAUGACGAAAGUCCAAAGAUUUAUCGCCAGAGGAUGAGCCCGCGUAGGAUUAGCUAGUUGGUGUGGUAAAGGCGCACCAAGGCGACGACCCUUAGCUGGUCUGAGAGGAUGAUCAGCCACACUGGGACUGAGACACGGCCCAGACUCCUACGGGAGGCAGCAGUGGGGAAUAUUUGACAAUGGGCGAAAGCCUGUUCCAGCAAUGCCGCGUGAGUGAUGAAGGCCUUAGGGUUGUAAAGCUCUUUUACCCGGGAUGAUAAUGACAGUACCGGGAGAAUAAGCUCCGGCUAACUCCGUGCCAGCAGCCGCCGCAG
rnacentral:rRNA from 1 species